UGUGGCAAGUUGAAGUGACCCGCAUUCUUCACGGGUGCACUCAAUUACCUGACAGAAUCAGUUGUCACGUCAUUGCGUAAUUGCGGGGCAGUGCCGCCCACUGUUAUAUAUAUGGGCAGGUGACUGCGCCUCUGACGUGCGUCAUACCUUUCUCCCGGAUGCUGUGAUCAGUCAGAUCGUGGUUUGGCGUGGCUGUGACAGAUCGGUGAUCCAUACUCCCUAAUUGUGCGAGUCUGCUGCAUUGUCUGUGCGGAGCUGACGUGUGCUCCCUCCACUGUGGGUGAACACAUCAGUGUCGGAAGUUGCUGUGGACGGCAAGUGAGCCGUGCGCUCCCUCUCUCUCUCGCUCUCCCUCUCCUCACGAGUUGGAAGCGCUGCGCUGCUAUCCUCUGGUAAUUGGGCCAGCGUGUGAAUCGCGGUGCCGCGGCCCUCUAGAAACCUCAGCCUCCAAGCCGUGGCCGACUGCUGUUUUGUCCCCCGCUCUUCUUUUAUUGUUUUAGUUCAUGUUGCCGCUACUACUACUACUACUACUACUACUACUACAACUAUCACCACUACUUCGUGACGAGUACAAUUUUGUGAUGGUUUAAAUUAUAGUUAUGAAUAUUGUUUCAGUUUGUUAGUUGCUUUAUUUUUGUUUGGUUGUUUGUGUGUUUG